GGCAUUCCAAUAUCACAGUAAAGAGCAACAGUGUGUGAUAAUGGCUGAAAACAGGAAGUCCUCCAUAAUCAUCAGGAUGAGAGAUGUAGUUUUAUUUGAAAAGUAAAUGUAUCUUUCAGAGUGCAAGACUGGGAAUGGAAAGAACUACAGAGGGACGAUGUCCAAAACAAAAAAUGGCAUCACCUGUCAAAAAUGGAGUUCCACUUCUCCCCGCAGACCUAGAUCCUCACCUGCUACACACCCCUCAGAGGGACUGGAGGAAUCCAGACAACGAUGCGCAGGGGCCCUGGUACUAUACUACUGAUCCAGAACAGAGAUAUGACUACUGCGACAUUCCUGAGUGUGAAGGGCAGGAGUGGCUCUAGAAAAUGUUUUCAUUUCUGCCCUUCACCUGUAAAAUAAUUUGUUGUAAAGCCCCUUCCCACAGGGAUAUUAUUAAUAAUUGCGUAACGUGUUCACCUCUCGGAAAGGAGCAAAACUUUGCUCAGAUCCCAGAAUUAACCUGCUUUUUUUUUUUUUUUUUUCUGAGACAGAAUUUUGCUCUCAUUGCCCAGGCUAGAGUGCAAUGGUGCGAUCUCAGCUCACCACAACCUCCGCCUCCGGGUUCAAGCGAUUCUCCUACCUCAGCCUCCCAAGUAGCUGGAAUUACAUGCAUGUGCCACCAUGCCUGGCUAAUUUUACAUUUUUAGUAGAGACAGGGUUUCUCCAUGUUGGUCAGGCUGGUCUUGAACUCUUGACCUCAGGUGAGCCGCCUGCCUCAGCCUCCCAAAGUGCUGGGAUUACAGGCGUGAGCCACCAUGCCCAGCAGACCUGAAUUAUUAUUAUUAAAAUGUUACAUCAACAUGUACAAAUAUAAAACUACAUCUAAACUCUAAGUACAAACUUCUUAUGCUUAAAACUCUUACACAGUGUUAACCCCAAGACAGAUUUGCAAUUAAGUAGUUAAAAUAAAACAACAAAGUCAAUAAAAAUCAAAUGAACAAUAUACAUUUAAUGUGGUAGACUUUGCUGUUUUGCUGAAGCUAAGCAAGGAACCAGUUUUUAAAUCAGCAAUCCGUUAUUUUAAUGGACUGAGCAAUUUAAUAGUGCACCUUAAAGGUCAAUGCUAAAAACUAAAAAAAAAAUCCUACUGAAAAAACUGUCAUCGUUUCACAUUUCUGGCUACAUUAGUGCAAAAGGGAAUAAAUAAAGGUGAGAUUUG